AGAACAUUGGUAGCGACGCGCCCGCUGCGGAAAACCUCCGAGUUAGCAAUUGCGCGCAGAUAGCCAAGGUUGGUUUCGAUUCCAGCAACGGUUGAGCUGUCCAGCACGCUGACGAGUUUUUCAAUCGCAUCCUUACNCGCCGCGACAAUCACCUUCGCCAGCAUGGGGUCGUAAAACGGCGUGACCUCGACGCCUGUUUCGAUCCAGCCGUCGACACGUGCACCAUCCGGGAAACGAACAUUAGUCAGACGUCCGGCACUGGGACGAAACCCGGCAUUGGGAUUCUCGGCGUAAACCCGCACUUCGAUGGCC
rnacentral:misc_RNA from 1 species